rnacentral:rRNA from 1 species
GCUCAGGAUGAACGCUGGCGGCGUGCCUAAUACAUGCAAGUCGAACGAGGUGCUUUGUAGCAAUACGAAGUAUCCUAGUGGCGAACGGGUGAGUAACGCGUUGGUGACCUACCCCAAAGUGUGGGAUAACAGUCCGAAAGGAUUGCUAAUACCGCAUGUGGUCGUCGGAUUUAGAAACUGAUGACUAAAGGAGCAAUUCGCUUUGGGAGGGACCUGCGUCCCAUCAGCUAGUUGGUGAGGUAAUGGCUCACCAAGGCGACGACGGGUAGGGGACCUGAGAGGGUGGCCCCCCACAAUGGAACUGAAACACGGUCCAUACACCUACGGGUGGCAGCAGUAGGGAAUAUUGCUCAAUGGGCGAAAGCCUGAAGCAGCAACGCCGCGUGUGUGAUGAAGGCCUUCGGGUCGUAAAACACUUUUCUGAGAGAUGAGAAAGGACAGUAUCUCAGGAAUAAGUCUCGGCUAACUACGUGCCAGCAGCCGCGGUAAAACGUAGGAGGCAAGCGUUAUCCGGAUUCACUGGGCGUAAAGCGCGUGCAGGCGGUGCGGUAAGUUGGGCGUGAAAUCUCCCGGCUCAACUGGGAGAGGUCGUCCAAUACUACCGUACUUGAGAGCAGAAGAGGAAAAUGGAAUUCCCGGUGUAGUGGUGAAAUGCGUAGAUAUCGGGAGGAACACCAGUGGCGAAGGCGAUUUUCUGGUCUGUUUCUGACGCUCAGACGCGACAGCUAGGGUAGUAAACGGGAUUAGAGACCCCGGUAAUCCUAGCCGUAAACGAUGUGAACUUGGCGUUGGUGGGUUAAACUCCAUCAGUGCCGUAGCAAACGCGAUAAGUUCACCGCCUGGGG